UUCCUUGGGCACCGUCAAAGACAUGGAGGCCUCCAGUGAGGAGGGGGAGGAAGCUCUCCAGUAGAAGAUAUCUCGCAGCUUGUACGGUGUUGAUGGGAUGACUCAGAAAUAGGAGGAGAUUGCAGGGCUACAGUUGUAGUGAGAACCUUCUCUCACAGAAGUUCUUGUAGAUGUGAGGCCCUGUUCCUCCUGGCCUGUCUUGUGAAGGCCUUACAGAUGGGGCACAAAUUGGUGUGAUGGGCCUCCCCCACACACGCAAAGCAGCUGUCAUGUCUGUCAGAAGCCGAUUGCUUCUCUGAGCAGGACACGCAAAGCUUAUCCUGGGGCUUAGCAGCCAUAAACUGCCUCAGGCCUCUGAGGGGAGGGGGGAAGAAAAAAGGCAGGAGGCUGAAUGGAGGCGGGGUUGGAUACUGAUCAAAAUGAACACACAAAAAAGAAGGCAAAGGAUAUAACAGAAGAUGGAAAGCAAGAAUAUACCCAAAGUAACAAUGGUACAAUGACAGAAGAAAUUAUUGUUUUUUAAACAGCUCUGGCUGCAGAAGAAAAAAACCUGAGGCAGAAGGUCCUCCAAUGUCACUAUUGUGGUGGUUGGAAGAAGACCGAGGGAGGUAACACCUGAGGAGAAGGUUAUGUCACUAGAGGGGGCAGGGCUAUUGCCAAAAGGCUUUAUCAGCUCUAGAAGGUUCCCUGGGUCAUGUCAACAGAGGCACAGACGUCCACAGUGUGAAGGACAAUAGGACCACUACCAAGAAUGUGAGUGAGUUUGAAAAGUGGUGGAUUAAUUGUGGCAAGCAAGAGCUGGCCAGUAGGUGGUGUUGUGGCAAUCGCACCAGGAACCUGCUUCCUCUUUGACCUCCUGUCAGAUCCUGGAAGAAAAGAUGAAAAUCUGCAGAAGUGUCUGGACGCUCUCCUUCACAAACCUGUGUGUUCCUUAUUCCGAAGGUAGCCCAUCUAAGUUCUGAUAUUCAGACAGUUUACAGAUGAUGUCCUUUCAUCCGAAUAAAGAGUAUUGGGUUGCAUCCCAACAUCUGGAGUGCUGGCUCUGUCAUUGGAAACAACUUCCACUUGCAGAAGGAGAGAGAGCAGCAUUCCACAAAAGGUUCUGUUGGUGUCCCUAAGGAGAUGCAACCAGAUGUCAGAGGUAGUAGGAACACACCCCAUUUCAUCCCAGACCAUGUCAGUGUGCACCUUGGUUGGACCAGGAAGUACAACAGAAUACAACCUCAAGUCAUCCUGCCUUUUGAUUAUUAUUUGGGAGGCAAUACAUUUACAAGCUCUGUUUUCUUGGGAAUGUAAUUCAGGCAGACCUAUUGUCACUUGAGGCCUUCCCACAACAUAAGUCAACCACCUAUAACCUUACAAGGGUCUUAAGCGAAACUAUGGAUCCACUCCCUUCUUUCUGCUCCAGUGCUUCACCUUGGCCUUAAGGCAACUAGGUUUGCUGUUCCUUCUAGUUUUUCUCAGUUGUCAUAGAGAUUGAGACCCUCUUAUCUGCACAGCUCACAGCUGAAACUGAACAUAAGUCCAGAGAUUAUUAUGGAGGCUCUCAUGGCCUCUUCAUUUCUCUCCUGAAAACCAGUUUCUAACACAAACUUCUGCCAUCUAUGAAAAGAGGGAGUAACAAAGCUGACCUAGUACUUUCCUCCACUUAGCCACUUUUAGAGUUCUCCAUCCAUUUUGUCUAAGAGUGUACAUCUUAGUACUUGUCAUAUCAGCAUACAGAAAUGUAAAGUCUAUUGCAAAUACAAUAAAACAAGCUUAACAGCAGUGGAACAA